rnacentral:rRNA from 1 species
UACGGAGGGGGCUAGCGUUGUUCGGAAUUACUGGGCGUAAAGCGCGCGUAGGCGGCUUUGUAAGUUAGAGGUGAAAGCCCGGAGCUCAACUUCGGAAUUGCCUUUAAGACUGCAUCGCUUGAAUCAUGGAGAGGCGGGUGGAAUUCCGAGUGUAGAGGUGAAAUUCGUAGAUAUUCGGAAGAACACCAGUGGCGAAGGCGGCCCGCUGGACAUGUAUUGACGCUGAGACGCGAAAGCGUGGGGAGCGAACAGG